UNGNGUGANCCAGCGGAGGGAUCAUUACCGAGUUAUACAACUCAUCAACCCUGUGAACAUACCUAAAACGUUGCUUCGGCGGGAACAGACGGCCCUGUAACAACGGGCCGCCCCCGCCAGAGGACCCCUAACUCUGUUUUUAUAAUGUUUUUCUGAGUAAACAAGCAAAUAAAUUAAAACUUUCAACAACGGAUCUCUUGGCUCUGGCAUCGAUGAAGAACGCAGCGAAAUGCGAUAAGUAAUGUGAAUUGCAGAAUUCAGUGAAUCAUCGAAUCUUUGAACGCACAUUGCGCCCGCCAGUAUUCUGGCGGGCAUGCCUGUUCGAGCGUCAUUACAACCCUCAGGCCCCCGGGCCUGGCGUUGGGGAUCGGCGGAAGCCCCCUGUGGGCACACGCCGUCCCUCAAAUACAGUGGCGGUCCCGCCGCAGCUUCCAUUGCGUAGUAGCUAACACCUCGCAACUGGAGAGCGGCGCGGCCAUGCCGUAAAACACCCAACUUCUGAAUGUUGACCUCGAAUCAGGUAGGAAUACCCGCUGAACUUAAGCAUAUCAAUAGNCGGGGAGGAAA
rnacentral:rRNA from 1 species